CGAGUCGGCUGGGCGGUCGCGUCGGCAUCCCUCACGGGGUGCCGCCGAGGAACGUCCGGACUCCGUAGAGCAGGGUGGUUGUUAAUGGCAACCCGGGGCGACCCGCGGGAAAGUGCCACAGAGAACAGACCGCCGGCACGCGCCACGGUGCGGAGCCGGUAAGGGUGAAACGGUGAGGUAAGAGCUCACCAGCACCCCGGGUGACCGGGGUGGCUAGGUAAACCCCACCCGGAGCAAGGCCAAGUAAGGCCACUGCCGCAAGGCGAUGGCUGGCGCAGGCGUUCGAGGGCUGCUCGCCCGAGCCUGCGGGUAGGCCGCAAGAGCCUGUCGGCAACGGCAGGCCGAGAUGGAUGACCGCCUCCGGUGACCCAGGUCACCGGGACAGAAUCCGGCGUACCGGCCGACUCGUCCG
rnacentral:RNase_P_RNA from 1 species